rnacentral:lncRNA from 1 species
CUAUGGUCUGGAACUUUUCCAGAAGGAGAAAGCAGAAAUUGAACUAGAUGUUGAAGAAUGGAUAGAAUUUAGAUUGGUGGAAAGUUAGGAAAAAUUUAUUCCAGGCAGAGAAAAGAGCAUUAGGAAAAACUUAUAGUUAGAUAGGAUCAAGACAAGAAAAAAGACUUUCCCAGAACAAAAGGUAUUUAUGUUGGAGUAUUAAGAAAUAAGUCAAGAUAGGUAAAAUGAGAGAAUAUGAUGGAAGAUUUGGAGUGUCUUGUACAAAGUAGGCACUUAAUAAUGUUUGUUGAGUUCAAUAGAAUUACUCAGUUGAGUAGUUCAAACUCUUUUGGAGUUAAACAAUAGUGUUUGUGACAAACAAUUUGUUUGACACAAACAAUUGUGUCUAGAGAGUGACACAAUAAUGACAGUGGUAUUUUAUGAAAAUUAAUCUAGCUGUGGUAUUGUGGAAAAGCACAAGAGCUAAGGAGACCAAAUGGGAGGCUAUUAAAAUGGCCGAAGAAUAAAGUGAUGAAUGCUUAGAAUAAUGUGGUGACAGUGAGAAUGGAGAGAAAAGUACAAAUGAGAAGGGAGGAAAUGCCAAACAAGGCUUGACUAUUAAUAUAAUAUUAAUAAUAUAGGGCUUAGGAGAAAAAAUGAAUCAAAGGUGAGAUUUUAUGUCAAUAACUGAAAAAAUGGUAGUGCCAUUGACAGAAUAGCAAGAGAAACUAAAGUGGUCCUCCUUGAGCUUCACCUUCUCUUAAUGGAAGCAAGAUGAAAAGCUAUUUAGAGCAGACUUCUGCUCUUUCAGGAACAGAGGUGCACUUUGUAUACCCUGAAGCAGAAAGAGAUGCCUGAAGAAGUCACAAAGGUAUUAAGAAACAAAAUCCACUGGAAUCACGGGUCAGAGGAGGAUUAUUUCAUCAGUGCACAAGCUGCCUGUUCCAGUAACACACCCUUCAUCCAGCCAACUGUCUGAAGUUUUGUAGAAUGAACAAACUUUCUUUGAAAAAGAAAAGCAGAGAGAAAUCCUCCUUUCUCUCAUUCAUUCUAAAGGAGAAAAGUCUUGAAACUAGAAGAAGAGAAAAGAUAGAUUGUUGAGUUUAAUAGUAAUUAAACCUGAAAAUAAUUUUCCAAUCUCAGGAUAAACAUGAUUACUAAAGCAGCUGGGAAUUUUGAAGAAAUGGCACAUGAUAAAACUCUAG